AUGGCGACCGCCUGCCCGCCCCUCUCGCUGCCGUCCACUUCCCUCCUCCGCAAGACAACCCGCGCCGGCCCCGCCCGCCAGCCGCUCCCCUCCGUCCGCUGCAGCGCCGUCGGAGAGGCUGUCGCGGAGGCGGCUGUGGCCGGGACGGCGGAGGAACCGCUGCUGGUGAGCGCAAUCAAGGGGAAGAAGGUGGAGAGGCCGCCUGUCUGGCUCAUGAGGCAGGCCGGGAGGUACAUGAAGAGCUAUCAAAAUCUCUGCGAGAAAUAUCCUUUGUUCCGUGAAAGAUCAGAAAAUGUUGACCUUGUUGUUGAGAUCUCUCUGCAGCCAUGGAAGGUUUUCAAGCCUGAUGGAGUUAUCUUGUUCUCAGAUAUCCUUACUCCACUUCCUGGGAUGAAUAUACCUUUUGACAUUGUGAAAGGAAAAGGUCCAGUGAUAUAUGAUCCCUUAAGAACAGCAGCGGCUGUGAACGAAGUCAGGGAAUUCGUUCCAGAGGAGUGGGUCCCUUAUGUAGGACAGGCUUUAAAUUUGCUGCGAGGAGAGGUUAAGAAUGAAGCUGCUGUGCUUGGUUUUGUUGGAGCCCCCUUUACCUUGGCAUCUUAUUGCGUGGAGGGAGGUUCAUCCAAGAAUUUCUCGAAGAUUAAGAGAAUGGCCUUCGCAGAACCAGCGAUUCUACAUAAUUUGCUACAGAAGUUUACAACUUCCAUGGCUAGCUACAUUAAAUACCAAGCUGACAAUGGCGCCCAGGCUGUCCAAAUUUUUGACUCGUGGGCUACAGAACUCAGUCCAGUUGAUUUUGAGGAAUUCAGCUUGCCAUAUCUUAAGCAAAUCGUGGAUUCUGUUAAGGAAACACAUCCUGACUUACCUCUGAUAUUAUAUGCAAGCGGAUCUGGUGGAUUGCUGGAAAGGCUUCCGUUGACAGGUGUUGAUGUUGUUAGUUUGGACUGGACGGUUGAUAUGGCCGAGGGUAGGAAACGAUUGGGAUCCAACAUAGCAGUUCAAGGAAAUGUGGACCCUGGUGUUCUUUUUGGAUCCAAAGAGUUCAUAACCAAGCGGAUUUACGACACCGUGCAGAAGGCUGGUAGUGAAGGACAUGUGUUGAACCUUGGUCAUGGCAUUAAGGUGGGGACUCCCGAGGAAAAUGUUGCCCAUUUCUUUGAGGUCGCAAAGGGGAUCAGAUACUGA
rnacentral:rRNA from 1 species